UAAGGGAUCUUCCCCAAUGGGCGCAAGCCUGAGGGAGCGACGCCGCGUGGAUGAUGACGCGCUUCGGCGUGUAAAAUCCUUUUGUGGGGGAUGAGAUGGACAGUACCCCGCGAAGAAGCCACGGCUAACUACGUGCCAGCAGCCGCGGUAAUACGUAGGUGGCGAGCGUUGUCCGGAAUUACUGGGUGUAAAGCGCGUGUAGGCGGCAGGCCAAGUCGGUGGUGAAAGCGCCCGGCUCAACUGGGCGAGGUCCAUGGAAACUGGUCAGCUGGAGGACGGUAGAGGCGAGUGGAAUUCCCGGUGUAGUGGUGAAAUGCGUAGAGAUCGGGAGGAACACCUGUGGCGAAGGCGGCUCGCUGGGCCGGUCCUGACGCUGAAACGCGAAGGCGUGGGGAGCGAACGG
rnacentral:rRNA from 1 species